rnacentral:rRNA from 1 species
GUCCACGCCGUAAACGAUGAGUGCUAGUUGUUGGGAAGUUUACUUCUCAGUGACGCAGCUAACGCGAUAAGCACUCCGCCUGGGGAGUACGGCCGCAAGGUUAAAACUCAAAGGAAUUGACGGGGGCCCCGCACAAGCGGUGGAGCAUGUGGUUUAAUUCGAAGCAACGCGAAGAACCUUACCAGCUCUUGACAUGGGUAUCGCGAGAUUCAGAGAUGGAUCUCUUCAGUUCGGCUGGAUACCACACAGGUGCUGCAUGGCUGUCGU